GACGAACGCUGGCGGCGGGCCUAACACAUGCAAGCCGAACGGUAUUUCUCCGCUGGUGUAGAGUGCUCGAGGCGCGAACGGGUAAGUAACGUGUGAGUAGCCUUCCUUUGACGUUGAGAUUACUUCAGGAAACUGGGGCUCAUACCGGUAAGUUGCUUGGCCUCCCUGGUUGUGGUAAGCUCCGUUGGGAGGAGGUGGAUGGGCUCGCGGUUAAUCAGAUUGUUGGUUAGGUGCUCGCUUAGCAAGGCAUUGAUGGGGGGCCGGCCUGAGAGGGUGACCGGCCACAGUGGCAGUGACAUACGGCCCAGACUCCUAAGGGAGGCAGCAGUGGGGAUUAGUGCCCGAUGGACGGAAGCCGGAUGAAGCAACGCCGCGUGAGGGAUGACGGCCUUCGGUUUGUUAGCCGCUUUCGCACGUGACUAAGAGUAAGUGACGGUAAUAGGUAAAGAAGCACCGGCUAACUACGUG
rnacentral:rRNA from 1 species